AUUAAGGUGGCAGAGAUGGUAAUUGCAUAAAACUUAAGCCUUUAUAAUCAGAGGUUCAACUCCUCUCCUUAAUA
rnacentral:tRNA from 2 species